rnacentral:rRNA from 1 species
CCUACGUGGGGCAGCAGUGGGGAAUAUUGGACAAUGGGCGAAAGCCUGAUCCAGCCAUGCCGCGUGUGUGAAGAAGGCCUUCGGGUUGUAAAGCACUUUCAGUGGGGAAGAAAGCCUUGGGGCUAAUACCCUCGAGGAAGGACAUCACCCACAGAAGAAGCACCGGCUAACUCCGUGCCAGCAGCCGCGGUAAUACGGAGGGUGCGAGCGUUAAUCGGAAUUACUGGGCGUAAAGCGCGCGUAGGCGGUCUGAUAAGCCGGUUGUGAAAGCCCCGGGCUCAACCUGGGAACGGCAUCCGGAACUGUCAGGCUAGAGUGCAGGAGAGGAAGGUAGAAUUCCCGGUGUAGCGGUGAAAUGCGUAGAGAUCGGGAGGAAUACCAGUGGCGAAGGCGGCCUUCUGGACUGACACUGACGCUGAGGUGCGAAAGCGUGGGUAGCAAACAGGAUUAGAUACCCGAGUAGUC